rnacentral:rRNA from 1 species
UGGGGAAUAUUGCGCAAUGGGGGGAACCCUGACGCAGCCAUGCGCGUGAAUGAAGAAGGCCUUCGGGUUGUAAAGUUCUUUCGGUAUUGAGGAAGGUUGAUGUGUUAAUAGCACAUCAAAUUGACGUUAAAUACAGAAGAAGCACCGGCUAACUCCGUGCCAGCAGCCGCGGUAAUACGGAGGGUGCGAGCGUUAAUCGGAAUAACUGGGCGUAAAGGGCACACAGGCGGUUAUUUAAGUGAGGUGUGAAAGCCCCGGGCUUAACCUGGGAAUUGCAUUUCAGACUGGGUAACUAGAGUACUUUAGGGAGGGGUAGAAUUCCACGUGUAGCGGUGAAAUGCGUAGAGAUGUGGAGGAAUANCCGAAGGGGAANGCAGCCCCCUUGGAAUGUACUGACGCUCAUGUGCGAANGNGGGGGNNGGGAGCAAACAGGAUUAGAUACCCUGGUAGUCCACGCUGUAACGCUGUCGAUUUGGGGGUUGGGGGGUUUNNAUNUNUNNNNNNNNGNCNNCCUNACGUGAUAAAUCGACCGCCUGGGGAGUACGGGCCGCAAGUU